rnacentral:rRNA from 1 species
AGGAUGAACGCUGGCGGCGUGCCUAAUACAUGCAAGUCGAGCGGUAAGGCCCCUUCGGGGGUACACGAGCGGCGGACGGCUGAGUAACACGUAGGAACGUACCCUUUAGUGAGGCAUAAGCACCAGAAAAUGGUGUCUAAUACCGCAUGUGGCCCUUAAUUUAUUAUGGGUUAAAGCUCCGGCGCUAAAGGAACGGCCUGCGUAUGAUUAGUUUGUUGGUGAGGUAAUGGCUCACCAAGACUACGAUCAUUAGCUGGUCUGAGAGGAUGAUCAGCCAGACUGGGACUGAGAACGGCCCAGACUCCUACGGGAGGCAGCAGUAGGGAAUUUUCCACAAUGGACGAAAGUCUGAUGGAGCAACGCCGCGUGCAGGAUGAAUGCCUUCGGGUUGUAAACUGCUUUUAUAUGUGACGAUAAUGACGGUAGCAUAUGAAUAAGGAUCGGCUAACUCCGUGCCAGCAGCCGC